AGGCCCCUUCGGGGGUACACGAGUGGCGAACGGGUGAGUAACACGUGAGCAACCUGCCCUUGACUCCGGGAUAACAGUUGGAAACAGCUGCUAAUACCGGAUAUGACCUUCGAUGACAUCAUCCGGAGGUGGAAAGCGCUUUAGCGGUCAAGGAUGGGCUCGCGGCCUAUCAGCUUGUUGGUGAGGUAACGGCUCACCAAGGCUUCGACGGGUAGCCGGCCUGAGAGGACGACCAGUCACACCGGAACUGAGACACGGUCCGGACUCCUACGGGAGGCAGCAGUGGGGAAUAUUGGACAAUGGGGGCAACCCUGAUCCAGCGACGCCGCGUGGGUGAAGAAGGCCUGCGGG
rnacentral:rRNA from 1 species